UACGUAGGGUGCAAGCGUUGUCCGGAAUUAUUGGGCGUAAAGAGCGUGUAGGCGGCCAGGUAGGUCCGGUGUGAAAACUCGAGGCUUAACCUCGAGAUGUCAUCGGAAACCAUCUGGCUAGAGUCCGGAAGAGGAAAGUGGAAUUCCUGGUGUAGCGGUGAAAUGCGCAGUUAUCAGGAAGAACACCAAUGGCGAAAGCAGCUUUCUGGGACGGUACUGACGCUGAGACGCGAAAGCGUGGGGAGCGAACAGG
rnacentral:rRNA from 1 species